CAAAUGUGUUUAGCAGAGGCAAUCAGGCAAACUAGAUUGUGAGGCAGCUUGCAAGAAUAACUGCUCAUGCACCGCCUAUGCAAAUCCAAACAUCGCUGCAGGUAGAGUUGGGUGCUUGCUAUGGUUUGGGGGUUUGAUUGAUGUCCGAGUGUACCCACAAAAUUGGCAAGAUCUUUAUGUUAGACUUGCCGCCUCAGAAUUAUCAGCUUCGAUGGAAAGAAACGGCUAGUUAUGCAGACAAAACAUGAUGAACUACAUGAAGUUGUUUCGCAAAGGAGUUUUGAUUAGCUGAGACAAAAAAGACCAGCUAAGGGCCGAAAUGAAAGUGGGGAGACUCUUUUAGAGAAUGAGAGGAGGUUAUGUUG
rnacentral:lncRNA from 1 species